CUGGCGGCAGGCCUAACACAUGCAAGUCGAGCGGUAGAGAGGUGCUCGCACCUCUUGAGAGCGGCGGACGGGUGAGUAAUACCUAGGAAUCUGCCUGGUAGUGGGGGAUAACGUUCGGAAACGGACGCUAAUACCGCAUACGUCCUACGGGAGAAAGCAGGGGACCUUCGGGCCUUGCGCUAUCAGAUGAGCCUAGGUCGGAUUAGCUAGUUGGUGAGGUAAUGGCUCACCAAGGCUACGAUCCGUAACUGGUCUGAGAGGAUGAUCAGUCACACUGGAACUGAGACACGGUCCAGACUCCUACGGGAGGCAGCAGUGGGGAAUAUUGGACAAUGGGCGAAAGCCUGAUCCAGCCAUGCCGCGUGUGUGAAGAAGGUCUUCGGAUUGUAAAGCACUUUAAGUUGGGAGGAAGGGCAUUAACCUAAUACGUUAGUGCUUUGACGUUACCGACAGAAUAAGCACCGGCUAACUCUGUGCCAGCAGCCGCGGUAAUACAGAGGGUGCAAGCGUUAAUCGGAAUUACUGGGCGUAAAGCGCGCGUAGGUGGUUUGUUAAGUUGAAUGUGAAAUCCCCGGGCUCAACCUGGGAACUGCAUCCAAAACUGGCAAGCUAGAGUAUGGUAGAGGGUAGUGGAAUUUCCUGUGUAGCGGUGAAAUGCGUAGAUAUAGGAAGGAACACCAGUGGCGAAGGCGACUACCUGGACUGAUACUGACACUGAGGUGCGAAAGCGUGG
rnacentral:rRNA from 1 species